UUUUUUUACAUCAUGUGUACGACUAUAACUAUAUUAUUCGAUGGAUUAUGAUAAAUUACCUCCCUCCCCUCCCUCUCUUGAUCACCGACAAUCCGUCUUCCCUCGUUCAUUUUGUUGCCGGAUGUCGUCGAGUUUGGUUCGCUGCCGUUUCCUGCUGUUCGACGUCGUGGAGAGAGAGAAAGAGAGUCCUUUGUUCUUGCGUGAAGGGUUCUCGUUUCUCUUUUAGUGCCGGUAGAGCUACCUUUUUUCCUAUCGAGGAGCGGCCGUUAAGUAGCUCGUGCUUAUCAUCGCAAUUGUUUUAAAAGAGAUGGAAGGAUGGACUGAGACCCGUUGUAAAUUUUCAUUUCAAAUCAGGAGUUCAUAUAUUCACCUGAAAAAUGGAUGAGAACAAAUUUGAACCGUGAAAUGAAAUGCAAUAAAAAUUAUAAUGUGAAAAGUGUACAUAGAGAAUGUAUAAAGAAGAAAGAGACUGAAAAAAAAAUGUUGAGAUUCUCUGCACUAAGUUUAUAUGUUACAUGUAACAAUAAAUUCUACAUCACAAAAUGACAUUUUUAAGCAUAAUACUGACACUUUGUGCGAUUGUAGUUACGAUGCGAUUGUAUGCGUGAUGCUCGCAAAUUUGUAGGUAAAUAUUAAAACAUUUGUCGAUAAAAAUGCGGUCUUGUUUCAUCUACAUCUGUUUUUUACGGAUCUAUAUUUGAUAGAUUUUGCUAUUUUUUGAAGGGGCCCUCUUCGUGAGAAUCACUUUGUCGUUAUAAGAGACUUGGCUACGAGCUAUUAAGAUUAUCAGUAUUUCUAUUUCAAUCAUGUUUCAAUGGCUGCCGUUGCUAUAGUUAUACCUUUCCUCUGAAGAUACAUUCCUGUUUCUUGAAAUAUAGAAGGAAUAUAUAUAUUUUGCUAUAAAGAUGGGAAGAAAUGAGAGGAAAUGAAAAAUAAUUGGC